rnacentral:lncRNA from 1 species
GAAGAGAGGAAGCUGAAGAACUGAAGAGCUGAAGAGCUGAGCUGAAGAUUCUCUUCUCCAGAACCUGAUUUUCUUGAAGAGAUGAAGAGUUGAAGCUAAAGAACUGAGGAUCGAAGAACUGAAGAGAGGAAGCUGAAGAACUGAGCUGAAGAUUUCUCCUAUACCGAUUUUGUGAAGCGUAAGUACCGAUUUCGUACAGCUGAGAUUCCUUUUUAUUCUCUACUAAUCAUCUAGUACUAAAAACAGUCAAUUGAUUGAAUUUUUGUUUUGUGUUUAGAAGGAAUUGAUUACUUUGGGGGUUCUUACAGCUGAAAUUUCAAAGUAGG